rnacentral:rRNA from 1 species
CCUACGGGCGGCAGCAGUGAGGAAUUUUGGUCAAUGGCCGGAAGGCUGAACCAGCCAAGCCGCGUGAGGGAGGAAGGUGCAGAGCGUCGCAGACCUCUUUUGCCGGGGGACAAAAGGCAGGAAUCGUACGCUUCUGAGGGUACACGGAGAAAAAGCAUCGGCCAACUCCGUGCCAGCCGCCGCGGUAAUACGGAGGAUGCGAGCGUUAUCCGGAUUCGUUUGGUUUAAAGGGAGCGCAGGCGGGCCUUUAAGCCGGCGGUGAAAUGGCGGGGCUCAACCCCGCCGAGCCGUCGGAACUGGGGGCCUUGAGUGCGGAGGAGGCAGGUGGAAUGCGCGGUGUAGCGGUGAAAUGCAUAGAUAUCGCGCAGAACCCCGAUUGCGAAGGCAGCGUGCCGUGCCGCCACUGACGCUGAGGCACGAAAGCGCGGGGAUCGAACAGGAUUAGAUACCCGGGUAGUC